rnacentral:misc_RNA from 1 species
GAGAGAGAGAGAGAGAGAGAUGAUUUGCAAUGUUAGAAGAUACCUAUUAUAGCUGAAGAAUUUUACAAUUGCUUCAUCAAACACUUAAAAGCUCAAAACUUAUAUCUUGUAUGUCCAAUAUUUUCAGUUUCCAUAUCAGCCAAACCCUUGAUUCUGUUAUUCAAUUCUUAGAUCAUUCAUGUCAAACUAAGAAUGCCAUAGCCAUUAAGAAGCUCCAUGCUCGCCUGCUCAGGACAGGCUUACUCUUUUUCUCACUUAAUAUUCACUGUAAACUCAUUUUCACCUACACCACAUGCCUCCACAAAAACAACCUCCAAGCCUUAACCAAUUGCUGCAAAUUCCUAAUCCCUGUGAACCCAUUACCCUUCAAUCUACUACUUUCUAAUUUCUGCCGAAGUGGGUUCCCUUUAUUAGCACUAAAAACCUGCUCUCUCAUGCAUGUAAACAGUGUUUCUUUAGAUACUUAUGCUUUGUGUAGUUCCUUAACAGCUUCAUCUUCUAUGGAAAAUGUGAACUUUGGUAAGCAGAUACAUGCCCAUGUGACGAAAUCAGGUUGGUUAUCUAGUGUGUUUGUGGGCAGUGCAUUGAUCGACCUAUAUGCAAAAUCGUCUUUUGUUAGUCAUGCCGCAAUGGUGUUUGAAGAAAUUCCAGUGAAGAACACAGUUUGUGCAAAUGCUCUUUUAUCAGGGUAUGUUGAAGCUGAAUUGUGGGAUCAGGGAAUUAAAUUGAUAAGAAAUAUGCCCCUUUUGAGUUUGGAUUAUGAUCAUUUCACAUUAUCAGCAAUGCUGCGGACAUGCACGGGGCUUUCUGCUAUUGAAUUCGGAAGACAAGUGCAUGGCUAUUUAAACCGUAAAAUUAAUGAUUUGGGAAAUGAUGUUUUUUUGCAGAGUUCACUGAUUGAAAUGUAUGGCAAGUGUGGUUUUGUAGGGAACGCUUUGCAGGUCUUCAACUUGGCAGGAUAUAGAUUGGGUGGAAAGAGAAAUAGGGAUAUUGUUUUGUGGACUUCAAUGCUAGGUGUAUAUGGUAGAAAUGGGCAUUUUAACGAAGUGAUUGGACUGUUCAACGAGAUGUUAAAAGAAGGGAUCAUACCAGAUGAGGUGGCGUAUGUUACAGUCAUCUCUGCUUGUGGUCACACUGGUCAAGUGCAACUUGGAAUUGAGUAUUUCAAAUCAAUGUCUCUGGACUUUAAUUUGAAUCCCGGCACAGAGCACUAUGGUAGUGUAAUUGAUUUACUUUGUAGGGCUGGUGAGUUAGGUAAAGCCUGGAAGCUGAUGAAUGAGAUGAUCACUAAAGGGCAUGAGAAUCCCAGCAUUUCCAUGUGGGGGGCUUUGCUUAGUGCUUGUGAGGAACAUGGGAAUAUUGAGAUGGGUAAAUUAGCUGCUCAAGAGGCACUUAACUUGGAGCCUCAGAAUGUCGGGAUCUAUGUUAUGUUGUCAAAUUUAUAUGCUAGGUUUGGUAUGUGGGAUGAGAUUAGCCAGCUGAGGGAAAUAAUGAAAGAAAGAGGGCUAAAGAAAGAUGUAGGACGUAGUUGGAUUGAAGUCACAAGUUAACUGGAGUGUUAUUAUCGUCAAACAUGGCGCGUUUGUGGUAUUGAUCUUGAAUGGUUGUCAGAGAUGCUAUGCCAAAUUGAAAGAUGACCCCUUAACCUGUUUCAAAUUCUGAACUUACGAGUCGUCAAACAAAGAAUAUAAUCAGUAGUUCUUAAUCUUCCAACCGGCAGGGGAAAUGGCAAAUUUUAGAGUUAUGAACCUGAGGAGUUUUCCACUUGCCACUUGAGCUUAUGAGGUACCCUGUAGAUGAAAUGGAAACUAGGUCCUCUCAAAGCCAUUGCUAUGAAGCUUCAUGAAAAAUGCUGCUAGAAUUAACAUUAGCUAGUCAGACAGGUAUUACAGUUGAUACUUCAAAAUGUUUGAAUUGUUGUGUAAAUAUUCAUAUUCAGCAUUUGGUACUUUGAGGAUGUUGUAGUUGAUGACAACAUAAUUAAACAAGGAAUGCUGAGAGCAGCUAGAUUGUGGCUACAAGUUUUCAAUGAUAAAUUUUAAUUAAC